ACAUAUCUGGUCAUCUGGACCAUCUUGGUGGUUAUGUGACGCCCAUGCAUGCGCAGUUGGGCGACGUCUACGGCCAGGUGAACACCAUUGGCGGAGAGGUCACGCGUCUGCGUGAACAGGUGUCGUCAUUUGAUGCUCGGUUUGGCGAAUACAACCAGGGCCUCACUGACGCCAACCACGGACUAACCGACACCAACUACUACCUCGCCGACCUAGAGAGACAGUGGGCCGCCUUCUCGUUGCAGAACCAGGACCAGUUCUGGCACCCUCCCCCGGGUCCCCCUAGGGGCCCCAACUGAGCAUUCCUUUUACCCACCUUUGUACAUUUUGUUUUAUUUCCUUUUACUUUGUUUUCUUUUCUUUCUUGUUUUAUGCUGUCUUCUUUUGUGGGUUUUUCUGGUUGCUCGUUUUACAGGUUGUGGUCGCCGCCCUCUCUACCGCCGUCGCCGUGUUGGCUGCACUCCUAUCCAGGGAUGUUCUUAAACUUUCUCUUUUUGUGCCCUGAGGACAGUGCAUGUUUUUCUCUGUGGGGGAGGGGCGUGAUUUAUGAGUUUUGGGGGUUUUAUGGUUCUGCCUUGGUUGCGUUGUUGGUUGUGCCGCAUGCAGUUUUUAUGAUGCCUUAUCUUUGCGUUGCAUGCUUGGGUGUGGUGCCCUGUUUUACUUGUCUUGGGGCAAAUGGUCCCCUUCUCUUGUUUUCUUGCCUGUCUUAAGUACAUCACAUGAUUGAUAGUGAUUCGCUGGCGAUUCGGGAUUGUGUUUGUUUGGUUUGCUGUCCUUGUUUUUCUUGAUUGAUGUGUUCUCAUUGAAGUGUAAGUAGCCUAAGGUUUUGGUGCAACACCCUGUUGAGCAACUCUUGACGUGAUUUGUCCGGUAGAUGCUAAGGGGAGUAUUUUCAGUGCAAUUACCUAAUGUCUGUCUCUGUUUUGAAUUGUUUGGUUGGUUGUUGAGUUUCUGAUAGCCUGGGUCUCUGCUCCUCUAAUGAUUUCAUUAUGAGCAUGGGUAACCACACGAGAACAUUUUGGGUCACCCCCAAAAGUUCAAUCUCGUGAAUUAUGGCCCAUCUAUCAAGAGCAAAAAUAACUUAACCCAAAAAAAAAAAAGAGAAGAGAAAAGUGAAAGAAUAUGAAAAAGGAAUGAGACAUGAUUGUAAAGGAAAUUGCAUUAGGAAAUUCACCCUUAGCGGAGAAUUGGGUCUGAUCGGAUUGAGUUGUAUCACCUUGUUGUUGCACUUUUAAAUC
rnacentral:lncRNA from 1 species